ACAUGCUUACAACAUAGUGUUAAUGCACCGGAUCCCAUUAGAACUCUACAGUUAAGUACGCUCGAGCUAGAGUAGUACUGGGAUGGGUGACCUCCCGGAAAGUCCUAGUAUUUUACAUGCC
rnacentral:rRNA from 1 species